AUACUUACCUGGCAGGGGAGACACCAUGAUCACGAAGGUGGUUUCCCCAGGGCGAGGCUCAUCCAUUGCACUCCCGAUGUGCUGACCCCUGCGAUUUCCCCAAAUGCAGGAAAUUCGACUGCAUAAUUCGUGGUAGUGGGGGACUGUGUUCGCACUCUCCCCUG
rnacentral:snRNA from 1 species